GACGUAGGGGGCGAGCGUUGUCCGGAUUCAUUGGGCGUAAAGCGCGCGUAGGCGGCCCGUUAAGUCGGUUGUGAAAACCCGAGGCUCAACCUCGGGCCUGCAUCCGAUACUGGCGGGCUGGAGGCAGGUAGGGGAGAUCGGAAUUCCCGGUGUAGCGGUGAAAUGCGCAGAUAUCGGGAGGAACACCAAUGGCGAAGGCAGCUCGCUGGGACGUUACUGACGCUGAGACGCGAAAGCGUGGGGAGCAAACAGGAUUAGAAA
rnacentral:rRNA from 1 species